rnacentral:lncRNA from 1 species
UCGGACAGUUUGCUCAUUUAUUGCAACGGUCAAGGCUGGCUUGUGCCAGAACGGCGCGCGCGCGCGCACGCACGCACACACACGGGGGGAAACUUUUUUAAAAAUGAAAGGCUAGAAGAGCUCAGCGGCGGCGCGGGCGCUGCGCGAGGGCUCCGGAGCUGACUCGCCGAGGCAGGAAAUCCCUCCGGUCGCGACGCCCGGCCCCGGCUCGGCGCCCGCGUGGGAUGGUGCAGCGCUCGCCGCCGGGCCCGAGAGCUGCUGCACUGAAGGCCGGCGACGAUGGCAGCGCGCCCGCUGCCCGUGUCCCCCGCCCGCGCCCUCCUGCUCGCCCUGGCCGGUGCUCUGCUCGCGCCCUGCGAGGCCCGAGGGGUGAGCUUAUGGAACCAAGGAAGAGCUGAUGAAGUUGUCAGUGCCUCUGUUGGGAGUGGGGACCUCUGGAUCCCAGUGAAGAGCUUCGACUCCAAGAAUCAUCCAGAAGUGCUGAAUAUUCGACUACAACGGGAAAGCAAAGAACUGAUCAUAAAUCUGGAAAGAAAUGAAGGUCUCAUUGCCAGCAGUUUCACGGAAACCCACUAUCUGCAAGACGGUACUGAUGUCUCCCUCGCUCGAAAUUACACGGGUCACUGUUACUACCAUGGACAUGUACGGGGAUAUUCUGAUUCAGCAGUCAGUCUCAGCACGUGUUCUGGUCUCAGGGGACUUAUUGUGUUUGAAAAUGAAAGCUAUGUCUUAGAACCAAUG